rnacentral:rRNA from 1 species
ACGAACUCCUACGGGAGGCAGCAGUGGGGAAUAUUGCACAAUGGGGGAAACCCUGAUGCAGCGACGCCGCGUGGAGGAAGAAGGUCUUCGGAUUGUAAACUCCUGUUGUUGAGGAAGAUAAUGACGGUACUCAACAAGGAAGUGAUGGCUAACUACGUGC